GAUGAAGAACGCAGCGAAAUGCGAUAAGUAAUGUGAAUUGCAGAAUUCAGUGAAUCAUCGAAUCUUUGAACGCACAUUGCGCCCCCUGGUAUUCCGGGGGGCAUGCCUGUCCGAGCGUCAUUAUAACCCCUCAAGCUCAGCUUGGUGUUGGGGCCUGCUGCACUGGCAGCCCUUAAAAUCAGUGGCGGCGCCAUCUGGCUCUAAGCGUAGUAAUUCUUCUCGCUAUGGAGUCCUGGUGGAUGCUUGCCAUCAACCCCCAAUUUUUCUAUGGUUGACCUCGGAUCAGGUAGGGAUACCCGCUGAACUUAAGCAUAUCAAUAAGCGGAGGA
rnacentral:misc_RNA from 1 species